CUGCGACAGGACGGAAAGACCCCAUGGAGCUUUACUGUAGCUUGACAUUGGGUCUUGGUACUACAUGUACAGGAUAGGUGGGAGGCUUUGAAACCAGGACGCCAGUUUUGGCGGAGCCAUCCUUGGGAUACCACCCUUGUAGUACUGGGACUCUAACCAUAGGCCAUGAAUCUGGUCUUGGGACACUGUCAGGUGGGCAGUUUGACUGGGGCGGUCGCCUCCCAAAAGGUAACGGAGGCGCUCAAAGGUUCUCUCAGUACGGUCGGAAAUCGUACGUAGAGUGUAAAGGCAAAAGAGAGCUUGAUUGCAAGACAUACAGGUCGAGCAAGGAUGAAAAUCGGACUUAGUGAUCCGGUGGUUCUGCGUGGAAGGGCCAUCGCUCAACGGAUAAAAGCUACCCUGGGGAUAACAGGCUUAUCUCCCCCAAGAGUCCACAUCGACGGGGAGGUUUGGCACCUCGAUGUCGGCUCAUCACAUCCUGGGGCUGUAGUAGGUCCCAAGGGUUGGGCUGUUCGCCCAUUAAAGUGG
rnacentral:rRNA from 1 species